CCACUAAGUUUCUUUGCCAUGUCUUUUCUGUAAUUAUUUGAAUUUGCUUUAAAUUUCUUUAUGAAUUUGUUUAUUUGCAUUCACUUGCAUAAUAUUUCCUUGUCUCCUUGCUUAUAUGGGCCAAGCUGCUUAUUUGCUGAAGAACCCUACUUCUUAUUCAAAUAUAUUCUAUGAUUCCGUUCCAGGAAGUCUUUUCUGGCCAGUGUUUGUGAUUGCAACACUUGCUGCUAUGAUUGCUAGCCAAGCAAUGAUAUCUGCUGCAUUUUCAUGCAUAAAACAAUCUAUGGCUUUAGGGUGCUUUCCUAGGCUCAAGAUAAAUCACACCUCAACAAAGUUCCUGUAAUAAACUGGUUUUUUAUGAUCAUGUGGAUACUUAUUGUUUCCAUCUUCCGAAGCACUACCGAUAUUGCAAAUUCAUAUGGCAUAGCUGAAGUUGGAGUCACGAUGAUUAGUACAACCUUAGUGACACUUGUAAUGCUUUUAAUUUGGCAAAAGAACUUAUUUAUGGUAAUUUCAUGCUCACUUAUAUUUGGAUCAGUUGAACUUAUUUACAUGUCAUCUGUUCUAUCAAAACUCUUUCAAGGUGGUUGGCUUCCACUUGCUUUUGCUACCUUUUUCCUCUCAAUUAUGUACACAUGGAACUAUGGAAGUGUCCACUUGCUUCUACUAUAGUUUUUGUUUGCAUUAAAUAUGUUCCUAUCCCUAUGCUUCCACAAGAGGAAAGAUUCAUAUUUCAAAGAGUUUGCGCGAAAGAGUAUCGUAUGUUUCGAUGUGUCGCGUGGUAUGGUUAUAAAGUAGGAAGGAAAGAAGAUCAUCAUGAAUUCGAACAACUUAUUCAAAAUCUAGAGGACUUCUUGAUAAUGGAAGCUCAAGAAAGGGAUGAACUAAUGAUUCUUCCACUGAUGCGCGGCGAAAAUUAUGAAGAAAUUAAUGGAGAUUCUGUAUAUGAGGAACAUAGUCUUGAACUUGAGAUUUCAGCACUUAGAGAAGGAAAAGCAUUUGGAUGCACUUAUUUGCUUGGACAUGGUGAUGUGAGAGCAAAGAAAAAUUGGUGAUAAAUUAUUUCUAUGCAUUUCUUAGAAGGAAUUGUAGAGCAGGUACUGUUAGCAUGAGAGUUCCUCAAACCAAAAUCAUUCAACUUCGUAGAACCUAUAUGGUUUAAAACUAUAUAGCCACAACACUUUCAGUUUUGCAAUUUUAAAACAUUUUUAA